rnacentral:rRNA from 1 species
CCUAGUGGCGAACGGGUGAGUAACGCGUUGGUGACCUGCCCCGAAGAGAGGGAUAACAGCUUGAAAAGGCUGCUAAUACCUCAUGUGAUCUUUAGGAUUAGAUGCCUUUUGAUUAAAUGGAUUUAUUCGCUUCGGGAGGGGCCUGCGUCCCAUCAGCUAGUUGGUAGGGUAAAAGCCUACCAAGGCUAUGACGGGUAGGGGACCUGAGAGGGUGACCCCCCACACUGACACUGAAACACGGGUCAG